CAAAGGUCUAUAUUGCCAAACAACUCUGUUUUAAAUAUUAUCUUUGCUUCAUAUUCAUACCUGAUAGUCUUCUCUGAGGGUACCAAUCAAAGGUCAAGACCUUUUUCACAACAUCACUGAUCUUCCUUGAAAAUCCAUGGAGAGUGGAUAGAUCAGAUAGUGGAGUGGUAACUGAAGAAAUAAAGAGGAAGUUGCUCAGGACAGAAGAUAAAAACAUGAGACAAAGGAAACAAACUGCUCUUGGAUAGGGUGCUUCUGAGGCUGGGAUUCUUCCCAGGGAAGACCACGCUGCGGAUCUACUGCUGCAUAAGGAGCCAUGCCAAAAGGACCAGAAAAGGCUUUGGAGUUCCUAACUGGUUUGGGACCAGAGACGGGGAGCACUUAACCAGAUCCAGCUCCCUGACCAGGGAUUGAACUUGGGGCCCCUGCGUUGGAAGCAUCGAGUCCCAGCCUCUGGACAACCAGGGAAGUCCCUACAGCUCCAUUUUCAAUCAAGAACACUGAGGCUCAGUGGAGAGGUCCUGGUAAGGAACAAGGAACUAAUAAGCCACCACCAACCAGAAGAGUUCAGGAAAUGUCAAAAGGAGACACCACAUGUCCGACCACCUCCCAGAAUCCUCACUGGCAUCCAUCUUGGCUGAACAAGGUGUGCACCACCAGGAGGGAGUCUUAGUCAGAAUGACUGGAUAAAGACAACCCAGAAACUAAUCCCAUCACCAUAAAACCAAGACUGCAGCCAUGUGGCAGAGCAGUUCUCCUGUGUUCCCUUGCCCUACUGCUCUCCACCCAGGCACCCUUUCCCAAUAAAAUUUCUUGCUUUGUCUGCACAUGUAUCUCCUUUUACAAUUCAUUUCUGAGUGUUAGACAAGAGCCCAGUUUCAG
ensembl:lncRNA